UACGAAGGGGGCUAGCGUUGCUCGGAAUCACUGGGCGUAAAGCGCACGUAGGCGGGUUGCUAAGUCAGGGGUGAAAUCCUGGAGCUCAACUCCAGAACUGCCUUUGAUACUGGCGAUCUCGAGUCCGGGAGAGGUGAGUGGAACUGCGAGUGUAGAGGUGAAAUUCGUAGAUAUUCGCAAGAACACCAGUGGCGAAGGCGGCUCACUGGCCCGGUACUGACGCUGAGGUGCGAAAGCAUGGGGAGCGAACAGG
rnacentral:rRNA from 1 species